rnacentral:lncRNA from 1 species
UUUUUUUUAUAUACUACAUUCACUUACUAUUCACUUACUGCAAAGCUACCCCAAACUUAAAGGUUGCUAUUCCAACAGCAACCCCAAACUUAGAUAGAAACGUAGAGAUGAAAUCAAUCCUCACAUACUCUGAACAUCUAUUCACUUACUGCAAAGCUACCCCAAACUUAAAGGUUGCUAUUCCAACAGCAACCCCAAACUUAGAUAGAAACGUAGAGAUGAAAUCAAUCCUCACAUAC